AUCCUGGCUCAGGAUGAACGCUAGCUACAGGCUUAACACAUGCAAGUCGAGGGGCAGCAUGAACUUAGCUUGCUAAGUUUGAUGGCGACCGGCGCACGGGUGAGUAACACGUAUCCAACCUUCCGUUUACUCAGGGAUAGCCUUUCGAAAGAAAGAUUAAUACCUGAUAGUAUGUGAGAUUGUCAUGAUAACAACCACUUAAAGAAUUAUUGGUUAACGAAUGGGAGUGCGUUCCUACUUAGGUUAGG
rnacentral:rRNA from 1 species